UUCAUCUCUAAUCAACUGGAGGAUUUGACUGGUUAAAUGGUUUCCAAUUAUGCGUAUUUAACAAGAAAAUAAAAACAACACAAGAGCUUAGUUCUCAAAUGGUUUCCAAUACGAACAUGUGCCUUUUAAUUUAUAAGAGAAUAACUAAAGUGAACUCGAUGUCCUGAUUCUUUUUUCUGAUUUCCGGCAAUAGAAUAUAGUUCUUGGUGAUGGAAGAAAUUUGGAUAUGAAUGAAAAGUGUGCCUAUGAAAAACAAGUAUGGAUGAACACAAAAACUGAUAGUUCAUAAUCUUUUGAAUAAGUGGUAAGACUUUCUUACAGUAUUUAGUAAGUGCAAUUCAUAUGAGCAAAUUAGUAUUGUGUAACUGCUAUCCUUUUGGUUCUACAUUUGUAAUAUAGUUACUAAGCUUGGAGUUCUUAGUGAGCCCCAUUAUAGCCUCGGUGUACAUAUUUCUAACAAAAGAGCUUGCAGAACUAAUUAAGAAAAAAGAGAGAUACUUCAUUUUAAUAUUUAUUUGUAUUUGCGAUUUGCUAUAGAGUAGAAUCAAUCCUUGCUGCUUCAGUUACGAGCUUGAUAUAGCACAGGAUCAUGUUUUUAAUUGUUGUUGACUGACAUUUAUAAUUUUAAGCUGUAACAGUUAAUUUCGCUACGUUUUUCUUGAGGUGAUUGAUUAAAAAUAUACUAAGAAAAGCCAACGAAAGAUAUGGUCUUUUUUAUUAGGACAACAACCGAUAAAGGCCAUUUAUGCCAACUGCUUGAUUUCUGGAUUGAAAAUUUGAAGCUCUUUAACAAGGCCAAAAAAGUUAUUUAAAAUUGCUAAGUCAAGAUUACUCCUGUCUCAGGUCAUACCGACUCUCUUUGUUUUUCCAUCUCUAUGUUCUUAUUUGUUUUUCCAUCUCUAUAUUCUUAUUUGUAUCUUCAAAUCUAUGUUUUCUUUAAAAUGAAUGAAAGGAAAAUGACCGAUAGUUGUCUACAUUUCAUCAUGUUUCACCUAACACAAUCACUUUUUUUAAAACUAUGUCCCCCUUUUUUGAUUCAAUAUCCUGAUUACCCUUGGAAAACUAAUGAAAGCACCAUUUUUUACUUGAAGUAUAGUGCUUAAAAAGGAAAAUACACAAAUUAGGAUGUAGUGAUCCUUCUCUUUGUCAAAUUUUAGUUGUGAAGCUCAUUUAUCUUAUAGUAGUACUUUUUGUUGGUGAUGGAAAUGAAAAUAUGUAUCUUAUUUCUACUAUGAGAUGGAUAGCGGCAAAAGAAAAACAAGGAGAAUCAUAUAUAGCUGGAGAACCCUCUAACACCUACAUUAGCAUAGAGAUCUUGAAACUUUAACUUCUUUUUUGGAAUAUUCUUCAUUUUCAGCUUGCCUGCUUCUUGAUGUUUCAUUGUCACAAGUAAAACUGAGGGAUAAAGGUUGUUUUAUUUAAUUUUCUCAAGAUAAUCCUACCACAGCACAGUAAUUCAAGAAAGUCAGAGGGCUGAUAUUCAUUUAGUGAAUUCAAGCAGGAAACAUGAUCCAUAGAAUGUUACUACUGCUUCUCUAAGUUGGAAUGCUUAUGAAAAUCAAAUAUUUUGCACUUUUUUUUUUUGGAAUUUUGAAGUUGGAGUUCUGUUUGGCUGUAGUUUUUGCAAAGAAUAUUUGGUUGUUUGAAUAUAUUGAAAGUGAAAAAAGUGAAAACUGAGUUUUAGGUGUUUUCCAAAUACAACUUCAAGUUGUAUAUGGAAUUUUCAUGGCCAAACCUUGAUUUCCAAAUAAAGUGAAGAAAAUUUCCGGAAAAUAAGUGAAAAAUUCUCAUGGCCAAACGGGUAUUAAGUACCUAUAAAACUUAAGUUGAAUUUAGUGGUCAUACAGUUUGAGCAUUUUCCUUCUUUGAUAUACUUGUGUGAAUAGAAUUGCGUCUUGCUUACAGAGUUUGAAGCAAACAUUUUCUCCUUUGCUAUAAUCUCUUCUGUCUAAAUGUUUUUUCGUUCCUGUACUAAUGUGAAGAGAAGAAGCAUCCAAGAGCACUACAAAAAUAGGAACGUGGAAAAGUCAAAGCUGCAUUACUGCUCACAAUUGCUAGAUGAGAGGCUACUAAUAUGUUAACAUACAUGUAAUGAAUUUUACAGUGGUUCUAGGUUGCCGCUGAUUUGGAAGAGUCCUUAAUUAACAGAAAUUGGUAGCUUUGCCUUCGAUCGUCUGAGCAUGGGACUCUACCUGGUAGUGCAAUAACUGAAGCUGAGUAGUGGAAGGGCCAUGAAAACUGAAGCCUACCUCCACUAGCUACAAAAGCCAGGAUACCCUUUGUGUGAGCCUUACAUUGGUAGAGUUCAAUACGUAUUCGCCAUUUGACUGUGCCAAAAUUCAAAGCACUUUAGAAGUGGAUAGUGGUUCAAAUGCUAAUUCAGAUUCACAUGUAGAUUUAUAUCCAGAUGAUUUUAGAUUUGUAAGGAAGUCAAAAUAUGUUGAUGAAGAAAGGGAAGAGAAUUCGAAAAAGCUGAAGGAGAAUAGCAGCUCAAUAUUAAAGAAGUUGAUGAGUUCAUAUUGUCAACAACUGAGGAUGAUGAAUAAGUUGACAACAAUGAGAACUUGGAACUCUUGGAAAGAUCUAUAAUCUGACAUAGAUGAUGAUGGAACAAAUUAGGUACCAUUUCCAUCUCAUAAAUUGGCUAUGACGUGUGAGCUGUCCUUUGCAGAAUCCAAACUCAAUUCCCCGUGUCGCAAGAUAUCUAUAAAAGAAUAGUUGCCUCUGAAUUAGUUAGCCCGGGGAAAUCAGAUGGAAAGAUGGGAAACAUGUCUUAUUGAUCCGACAAUUAUCAAUUGGUGUGAUUUUGGUAAUCCAUAGCUUGGUGAUUUGCCACAGAAGAAGGAAGAAUGAUUUGAAGCUCAAGAAGAGAGGAAAAUGGGGAUACAACGACAAUUUGAAGAUGGAUUACAACAGUGGUAGUUGAAGAAUUUGAGAUGCCAACGAUCUAUCUAACCAUAACCAAAGCUACCAAUAACUUUACAGUUACCAGAAAGAUUGGAGACAGGGGCUUUGGUCCUGUUUACAAGACAACAACACUUCACCGAAAGCAUAGAUCAGAUGAAGUCUAGAUGACUUGUCAGAAGCUUCCUGGUCCACCGGCGUUAAACCUUCAUCUUUAGUUUCAGUAUACAAGUUGUAUGAUAAACACUGCCAGAUAAAGCUUAACCUUGUAAAACCAGAGGAGACUUGGAAGGUAACAUUGGGAAGAAGUGUGGGAAUAGAGGAAAGAGCCUUUUGGUGCAUGAACCUGUAGGUAUGGUGAACUUCUGCAACAGCUUAACAGGUUCUACCGUUCUUAUAAUAUAAGGAUAAUUAGCUGACUGAUAGAAGGGACUAUUUUAGUUUUAGUGUUUAUACUUACAUGGUGCCAUUCAAUAUUAUCAAUUAUGAUGUAUAUCCAAUUUGUCUCCAUCAAAACUUCUUAGCCGAGGAUAUCAGGGAGUUCAAGUCAGAUGUUGAAACCCCAAUACUCUAAUUCCAAUGCAACUUCAAUUGCUUCCAGGGAGAAUUUAGGUACACGGGAGUUCUCAGUUGAUGAAAUUUGCCAAGCAAAUGAAAAUUUCUCUGCAGUACACAAGAUUGGUGACGAGGGGUUUGGUACAGUGUACAAUGGAAAGCUUAUGGAUAGAUUUACUUGCAUUAAGUUAGAAUGUUGAAAAUAUAUUUUCUUUAACUCUUUGUUUAAUUAUCACUCCAAUGAUGGUACUUAAAAAACCUUUCAUAUAUGUUGCUAUUUACAGUG